UACGAAGGGAGCUAGCGUUGUUCGGAAUCACUGGGCGUAAAGCGCACGUAGGCGGAUUUGUCAGUCAGGGGUGAAAUCCCGGGGCUCAACCUCGGAACUGCCUUUGAUACAGCAAGUCUUGAGUUCGAGAGAGGUGGGUGGAAUUCCUAGUGUAGAGGUGAAAUUCGUAGAUAUUAGGAAGAACACCAGUGGCGAAGGCGAGUCCCUGGACAACUCCUGACACUGAUGCACGAAAGCUAGGGGAGCAAACAGG
rnacentral:rRNA from 1 species